ACGCACGCUGGCGGCAUGCUUCACCCCUGCCAGUCGCACGAGACCUUCGGGUCUAGUGGCGCACGGGUGCGUAACGCGUGGGAACCUGCCCUUAGGUUCGGAAUAACUCCCCGAAAGGGGUGCUAAUACCGGAUAAUGUCUUCGGACCAAAGAUUUAUCGCCUUUGGAUGGGCCCGCGUUGGAUUAGCUAGUUGGUAGGGUAAAAGCCUACCAAGGCGACGAUCCAUAGCUGGUCUGAGAGGAUGAUCAGCCACACUGGGACUGAGACACGGCCCAGACUCCUACGGGAGGCAGCAGUGGGGAAUAUUGGACAAUGGGCGAAAGCCUGAUCCAGCAAUGCCGCGUGAGUGAUGAAGGCCUUAGGGUUGUAAAGCUCUUUUACCCGGGAUGAUAAUGACAGUACCGGGAGAAUAAGCUCCGGCUAACUCCGUG
rnacentral:rRNA from 1 species